rnacentral:lncRNA from 1 species
AUGCUUGAGCCAGGCCCCUGGGGUCCUGAUUUCUUCCCCCAAGGCCAAAGGCGGCUCGUCCACCCUCCCUCUCUCCCGCCUCUUCUCCCUGCACUGGAACCUGCCAGUCUGUUCCCCUUCCCGGGCCUUCCCUUCUGGGAAGCUCCCUUUACAUCAGUGGGGAUUUUGUCUCCCCAGGGACAUUGGCCACGUCUGGAGACACGUUUUGGGGACAUGACUGGGUGGAGGGGGCUGCAGGGAGUCUGGUGGGUGGGGGCCAAAGAUGCUGCUAAGCGUCCUACGAUGAGCAGGACAGUAACCCCCUCUCCCCCACAUCAUCCCUCUCAGAAGGUCAACAGCACCCAGGUGAAGAAACCCUGCCUUGAACCCACCACUGGCAGGAAGCCCCCAUUCCCCUGGCCAAGCCCUUGCUGGGAAGGGGGCAGUGUCACCCGAGCCUGGCCCUGCCCACUGCCCCUGAUUGUAGAAACCUCUCAGAACCUCUUUGCCCUUCUUCUCCUCCUCUUACUCCUCCUCCUCCUUCUUCUUGACAGGCAGAGUGGACAGCGAGAGAGAGAGAGAGAGAGAGAGAGAGAGAAAGGUCUUCCUUUGCCGUUGGUUCACCCUCCAAUGGCCGCCACGGCCGGCACACUGCGGCCGGCGCACCGCGCCAAUCCGAUGGCAGGAGCCAGGUACUUAUCCUGGUCUCCCAUGGGGUGCAGGGCCCAAGCACUUGGGCCAUCCUCCACUGCACUCCCUGGCCACAGCAGAGAGCUGGCCUGGAAGAGGGGCAACCGGGGCGCUCCGAUCGGGACUAGAACCCGGUGUGCCGGUGCCUCAAGGCCGAGGAUUAGCCUAGUGAGCCGCGGCGCCAGCCCUCUUUGCCCUUCUGCUUUCCUGCUUUGGUGUUUUGAAGGUCUUGUGAAACUGGACAAAGAGAGAGAGAGAGAGAGAGAGAGAGAGAGAGAGAGAUCUUAUCCACUGGUUCACUCUCCAAAUGCCUGCGGUGGCCAGAGAUGUGCUUAA